rfam:Pseudallescheria apiosperma strain IHEM 14462 SEQ_SAPIO_0121, whole genome shotgun sequence.
AUACUUACCUUGUCCCGUGCUCGCCGAGAUCAAGAAGUCGGUAGUUCAGUGAGGAUGACCUGCAUUGCACAUCGCGGAGUCGGCCUUGCUCGAUUGUCCUUCGGGGCCGUCGGGGGCGCAAUUUUUGAUGUCUUUCCUUUUUCUGGAGUUCACUCCGGAGAAUU